rnacentral:rRNA from 1 species
UACGUAGGGUGCAAGCGUUAAUCGGAAUUACUGGGCGUAAAGCGUGCGCAGGCGGUUUUGUAAGUCUGUUGUGAAAGCCCCGGGCUCAACCUGGGAAUUGCGAUGGAGACUGCAAGGCUUGAAUCUGGCAGAGGGGGGUAGAAUUCCACGUGUAGCAGUGAAAUGCGUAGAGAUGUGGAGGAACACCGAUGGCGAAGGCAGCCCCCUGGGUCAAAACUGACGCUCAUGCACGAAAGCGUGGGGAGCAAACAGG